UUGUACUACUCCUAAAUUGCUUUAAAAAUAACACAACAUCACUAAACUAAUUAAUGCAAGCAUCUUCCAACAUGACUACAAAUAGUGCAUAAAAUACUGAACUUAAAUACCUUACCCUUGGAUUAGCAAUCAAGGAAUCACAAGCUAUUGCUUCAAGCACUAACAAUAGCCCAACAAAACAAGAAACAAAAGACAAAAGAACGAAGAAGAAAAGAAAGAAGAAAAAAG
rnacentral:lncRNA from 1 species